GUCACACAUUUCCUUCCUUAAUGUCUCUAUCUUCGUUGGUCUGUACUAAUGAAGCUCCACAUCUCAGCUGCUGAAUGCUCAAGCUCGUCUGCCUGGAAUUUUCUAACUCAUUUCAAUUCAUUUCCCACUUUCUCCUUUCCCUCCUGCUGCCUUUCUCCUGUUCCCAUCCCAUAGUUCUUUCUCUUCUCUCCCUGUCUUUUCCUCAGUCCCUCCCUGUCUGUGUGUCUCUGGCCACAGCUCCCCAUCCCCUGCCACUACAUGCAGGGACAGGAACCACGCAGGUGAGCUCAGCCUUUGUUGUGCCUCUUUCCCUGCCUCCUCCCUGCCUGCUGCCCUCUGCAUUGCCCCUUUCACUCAGCUUCUUUUCUCCUGAACUGUUUUUCAGAGCAAUCCACGAAGUGCUUUCAAAUCCAUGGCCCCUCCUGACCCCACCUACUCAUGGUCUCUGACAGCAGCCUGUAAUGCCCUGCGCUUCAGAGGAAACUCUACUUACUCCAAGAAUAGUAAUGUGGGCCGUGGGAAGCAAUGCGCUGGCGUGAGCUGUAUGCCAUGGACGGCUGAGGCACAGGGAGGAGAAGAUGUGAACCAAAAGGCUCUGCCCUGAAUAAAGUCAGGCGCAUCCUUUGAUCCUCUGUGUCCGACUGGUUUCUCUUCUGAGUCUUAGCAAACAACCUGAAAGUGCUUCUGGAGACAACGUCUCUGCCUGCCAAGAUGUCAUCACCUUGCUCUGUGCUCUAGGACUGCCACGGUUCUCUCCAGCCCCUUUAGGCAUUCCUGCUUGAAGAUUAACCCUACAGUCUCAUGCUGGACAACUUAAUUCAGCUGAGGAGAAACAGCAGUACAUGACAGAUAAGAAAGUAAUUGCACCCUGAGGAAGCACGAGGAGUGCCUGCGUCAUAUACACUUGCUUUACAAAACAGCAGCUACUUAUUCAAAGGAAGUGGCCUUUGGAAUCACAGAGUACAUGGAAAAGACAUAGUUGCAGGAACCUCAUUAGAUUUCUAACGUGGCUAAGCAGGGCAGGUUCUGUUCUUGUUUUCUGCCAUUAGAGAUGGUGGAAAAACAGACUGUGCAUCUCUUUGUUUUCCUGUGCUAAAUAUUUUGUGGCCAGAUCUCAGGAGGAGGGCAGAGAGAUGGAGAAUUCAGGGUGAGAAGCCUGAGAGGAAGGGAGAGGAGAGUUGGGAUUAAGCAGUUUAGGGUGAGGAGGUGAUAGUAGACCCAAGAUGGGGCUGAGACUUAUCUAGACUUGUUUUUCCCAGAGAUAGAAAGAAAUAACACACUUUUUUUUUUUUUUUUUAUGGGGGUCUUAAUGAUGUUUAGCCUUCAAGCUUCACAAAAUGUGACCCACCGGGUGCCCCAGAGAUCAGAGGCGCCCGCCUAUCAGCUCGUGCUGCUGUCCCUCAGCCUUGCUGUGGGAGGGGCAAAUGCAUGGAAGGAUUAUGGAGAUCCAGAAAAGAAGAGCAGGCAAAGCCAUAGAAAAAAAAAUCACCAAGAUUUAUUAACCAGAGAGAUCCCUCCUUUUCAAGUGGGAAAAUACCAGGCAGAGCUCAGAGCACACCUCCAUACCCUCACCCUUUUUGUGCCCUUUCCUUGCUGCUGUUACAACAGGACAGCAGGCUGGAUGGAUGUUUGGCUUUGCUCACUGCAAAUGUUCUUCUCCUCUUUGAACCUCAAAGGUAAAAAUAGUUAGAGAUCUCUGACUUGAUUCACACAAGUGUCUUUCAGAUGGGAAGAGCUUUCAAUUGCUUCCAGCCUGGGGCCAGAGCAGUACCAGUGACCAUGAAGUGGAAGGCUCGGCAUCCUGUAUUAACCAGUCACAGCAGUCUUGUUCUCUCUUCUUUUCCUUGCCUUGCCUUUGCUUUUUUCAUCCUCUAAUGAAGCACAAGUAUCCGGAAGGAAUGCAUGCUAGGGGUGACAGGGAAAUGUCCUUCUGAUCUCUCCUCUUGAAGGAAGAUUUGGAACAUUUUAAUAAAGUGGAUUAAGAACUUGGACACAAAAAGUAACCUGUUUCCCUGUGAUGGGUGCUUUAAUCUUCUCCCUGAGCUGCUGACAAAGGCUUUCCUUAAAGAAGCCUCUUGAGCACAAAAGGGAGAAUAAAAGAAUGGGAGAAUAGACAAAGAGGUGCAAGAUGUUUAAAGGCACCCAAAAAAAUGAAGCUGCUUGGGUGUUAAUUGUAUUCUCUUUUCCCAGAGCCUGUUUUCCUCUUACGCUUCGGAUUUUGGAUCAAUGCUAGAGGCUGCAAAACUAACCCAAGGAAGGAAAAAGCCUUUGAUUAGACAAACUGAGUGGUAAAGAAAAGUAUUGAACGGAAAGCGCUGUCAAUGAGCUACUCAAUGCAACAAUUAGAAGGUGAAACUUUUUCUUUCCCUUUCUAAGCAAGACACACCUCUGCUCUGCUGGAAGGAGGUGGGUGGGAGGAAUUUUUCUUGUUCUGGUGCCCAAUUGUCUCCUGGACCUUUUCCAUUUCAAAGAAGAGGGUGACCUAUAAAACUGUCCCACUUUCACAUCACCCAAUGCAGGCUAGGAAACUAUCUGACAUUUAAAGGGACACUCCUGGUGUUUCCAGUAAGGAGCUUUCUGUGGCAAUAAAUGAAUAAAGAGGUGCAGAAAAAUGAGAUCUGUGCAAAUGUCCCUGGAAUGUUUCUCUUUGAAGAGUCGUUCCAACUCUGCUGGCAAUGUGGAUGGUCGUACAGCUGAAGUUUUGCUCUGACAGGGGAUCCCACUGUUCCAUGAGCAUGACAUGAGAAUAAAACCUGAGGUGGUUGGUUCAAAGUGCCAACGUGGUAAGUUCGUUUAUUUUUUUCCUGUCUUGAUGGCCAGAUUACUAUUAUAAAACAGAAUAUUUUAAAUAAUAACGAAAAUAGUUUCUCUCUCCCCAGAUGAGGUGUUUUCAAGCAUGGGAGUGUCUAAAUCAGGUAUAUGGUCUGAUUUUUGAGUGGUCCUGUGCAGAGCCAGGAGUUGGACUCAGUGACCCUUAUUGGUCUCUUCCAACUUGGGAUAUUCUGUGAUUCUAUGAUGAAUGUGUCGUGGUUCAACAGGUGACUGAGCUACUCCAUGGAAACCAGUGGCCAGAGAAAAGAGAACACAGUUAACACCCCUUUGGCCUGAUGGUCAAAUUAUGUGCUCUGUGAGUCUUUGCAGACUCUUGACUGCCCCAGUCCUGUAGUGCUGAGAACAGUUGUCAGUCUCCUGGACUUCGUCUUGAGCUGUAUGUGCUUCAAGAACAUGGUUUCUCUUUCAGCCUGGACUGUGCCUACUCCAAUCCAGGACAGACCAUGAGCUGCUUUUGCUGUGGUUCUGCAGGGACAAAAGGUACCACCAUAGGCUCUCUUGGAACGUGGGUAAGAAGAAGAUAAGAGCCAACCAACUCUUAUGCCCACCAGGCAGCCACAGAUAUCAAAGCAGCAUGAGUCCCAAGGGUAGCUUAUUUAUUCUUUGACUUAAGCUUGUCUUUGCUGCCUAGAUCUCACAGUAAGAUGGGAACUGAGGGGUUUCUGCACCUCUCCCCCUCACAGUUUCAGAUGUAUCUACAGCCAUUUAUAGCCAGAGAUCACGAUUGCUGGGUUCACAUUUCAGCUGUGUCUACUUUUGUAAGAUGAACUCUCUCAUUGUUGCCCCCUCACCUCUAAGAGGCUGAAGCCAUCCCCUCCAGUCCCUAAGAGGAUUUUGUUUUCCAGUUCUCCCUCCAAGCAUCAGCUGCCUGCAAAGAGCUGGGGACAAGUUCUUUGGGUUAUGGUUAACCUCCAUUGCACUCUCACUCCCUACCAUGCAAAAAUUCACAUAGACUUGUCCAUGCUGCUGCUUUCCUUCUGCUGCAUAAAGGGAGAAAGAAAACCCCAAACAAAGCAGAUAAAACCCCAGCAGGUUCUACAGAUUAGAAGCAAAAGGAAAAGCAGGGACAUGGAGAAGAGGGCUCGUGGGCAUGGCUGGCCCUGCCGAGGGCUCCCUGUUCACAUCCAUCACUACAUCUUCUUCCCUCCAGUAAAAACUGCUAAUCCUGAGCAUCACCCAGUAUCACUGCACUUCAUUCCUGUAUGUUGCCCAUAGUCUCCCUUUAGACCCGUGAGUUCUCUAUGGGGAAGCCAACAGCCCUAUGCCAACCCACACCUUCCUCCCACAGCACCCUGGUUUGGUGCCCAUAGCACAUAUUCACAAACUAUUCAUUAUCUUUUUUUUUAAAUACCGUUUUCCCUCUUUUAUACAUCCUUGCUACUACCUUGCCUCUCCCCAUCUUUCUUUCUGUGCACCAUCUUGCCCCAGAUUGUCCUUUUGGAGAGGGAGGGUCCUAUUUUUUUCUGAUUUGUGGAAAAAGAAUGAGUACAGGAGCUCUGUGAUUUUUGUUUUCAAGCACACGUUUUGUUUUGAUAAACUGCAUUGUUUUGUCUAUAGAAAAGUAUUAACUGCUUACAUCUAUUUUCUCAAAGACCUCACAUGAAUACUAAAAGGGAUUUAUUCCUACAAUGGCUUCGGGCAGUUGAGUAAUCCAUUAUAGGCUGUCAUAUCACACUGUGGUAAUGUGAAAAGCUGGGAGUCCCUCCAAUAAUAUUUAUUAGCAAUACAGGCACAUUUUCACUUUACAGGUUUUUUUCUGCCUUCAUGUGAUAAGUUCACAUAUAAAAAUAUUCAUUAGUUUCUUUAAGCUGUUGCUUGAUUUUAAUUAUGACGGUGAUAAUGAUGAUUUAAAAGAGUAACUGAAUGUCACGCAAGUGAUAGUGACCUGGUUUAUCGCAUUUAUUUCAGCAUAUACUGGGAUGCUUAAUUUAAGGCCCGCAGGCCACCUGGACAGUUCAUUUGGCUUUUAUUUCCCUCCCUCCCUCCUUGGUGUUUCACGUGGGUACAGCAGCGCAGGAGCACUAUGAGUAUACUACUGCAGUCCCCACAGUCCUGCUUUGGGCACGGAGCAAAAGGGGUUAGGAAGGUGGGAGAAGGCUUACCUCCUUCACCAAGCCCAUAAUCUCACCAUGUGUCCCCUCAACGCUUGUCCUUGCAAGUCGGCUGAUAUGUAGCCAUUCUGAUUGCUUUUCUUUUGACUUUUUCCCACAGAUUCUGACCUCUUUCGAUGUUAGGUGGAGUUUUUGUUUGCACGUAAGACUUUGGUGGUGGUGUCUGAUCUUCACAUGGGGUUGGAGCUCAGCAGUCGUUUCUGUUCUCAGCUCCACCCAGAAGAACCUCCCCCUGUGUUACUCACUUGAUGGGUGAACUCCCAUCAAGGUGCAAACCCUUAAGAUGAGCUCUCUGAAUUGCUUCAUUAUUUCCCUGUGGAGUCAGCCAGGAAUCCAGCAAGGACACCAACUGCAGUGACACUGAUGCUCAUUCUACAGGGACCCAAGCCAAGAGUGGCUCCUUAUUCCACAGAAGUUGUUGAGCUGCUGCUGAAGGAUAACAAAUAGUGGUCAACAGUGCACUGACCUUCCUCUGAAAUCAUGAUCCCAAGGCAAAGAGCUCCAUUUAUCCAGAGCACACUAGUGCCAAUUGGUUAUUCUGCAUCACCUUCAAUCAAAUCUUGCUAGGAGAGCACCUCCUAGUGAUUUCGCUGUCCUUGGAUGGAUGCAGGCAUGCAGAGAAAACACUUGCCUUCAUCUCACAAGAUGCAAGAUGUGAGCAGAGCAUGGACUGCUGAUGAAUACAUCCUCAAGAUAGAGUGUAUAAGAAGUCCACAUCAUCCUAUUUGACAGGCUGUACAGACUGUCAUGGCUUUGAAAGUACCCUAUGGGAUGAAAGGUUUUCUCCAGAAAAUCUUGGCUGAGAGGUGUUGAAAGGCAGCUGGGUAAUCUACAAUAGCUCUGACAAGUAUCAGCAAGGUGGAUGUGUGCAGGGCUGGUUAGUUCCCCUGGGUCACUCAGGGCUUUGCAAUCCCUGCAGAGUUCUGCAAGAGAGGAUUUUUACUGUGUCUAUGGGGAGAGGGUGCAGAGAGGCCGAAGAAUGGGGGAAAAGAAGUUUAGGAGCAUCACCACUGUCCUCUACUUUACCCCAAUUGAUUUCACCCUUUUCCUUUGGUUCACAACUUUGUCAUUUACCUGCAGGUGUUAAACCUCUCCUCUCCCCUCUGUUGUCACUUCCCUGUUUUGUGGGUAAAAAUCUCUGUUCUGAGGUGCCAGAACAACUCAGCUUGUGUUUACGCAUGGCCACAUGCAGGAUCGAUAUCUGCAGGUGUGUGAACUGUGCAUGCAAGUGGAUGCAGAUGGUCCGUGAUGUGCGUGGAUGGGAGCAUGCACUAAAACAGCAGGGCUCAUCUCCAUGCCCUCUUUUGUAACUCAUUCUUCAGCCAAAACUCCCUGACCUAUACUUGUGACUUAAUGAUAAUCUCCACAAGAGCCUAUUAUGAUUAUAUAAAUAAACCCUUUCAACAUUAUUACACUGCACAGAGGAGAAACAGAAAGUGAUGAACCACAGAGGACUAGGGGGGAAGAAAUAGUUGUGCAAAUAGUCAAAGAUAUCUAACUGAUCAUAAAAGGAGUAAUGAUCCUAAAUUGUAUGCAAACAAAUAGGAUAUUCUUUAAGAUACCUUAUUUGUUAAUAGUAGUAAUCAGGAGGAUGAUCUCCCAGCUAGUCUCUGGAUAGAGUUCUCUUGAAGCAUUUUAUAGCCCAAAUGGUAGUGUUCAGACCUGCAGAUCACACCCAGGCUUAACUUUUCUUACUGGGUGGAUACCAAGAGCUACUCAGAGCUGGUGGUCAAUACAUCUGUUUGCCUGCCUUUUGAAAAGUACUGAUAUGCCAGAAUGCCUUGGCUUUCAAUUAACUGUUUUGGCUCAGUAUUGAAGUGUGACCAGCUUGCAUGGACUGGAUGGUAUAGAAGACUUUUUUCUACAGGCUGUCUUUGAAAUCCAUAGUCUGUUCUCUGGUUGGGGUCCUACAGUGGGGCCUAUCUGUGGGCUUUUUGAAGAUGAGGGCCAUGUAACACCUCAAAGAGUGCUUGGGAGAGGCAGGAGAGAAGUGGACAGCUUCCAUGUGUCCUCUCUCUUCAAAGUGAAGUGAAAUUCUGCAUCCCAGAUGGAGUCUGUUACCAACCCCCCUGGUCCUGGUGCCUUCCAUGUGCUCUUUGUCCAUUGCUCUGGUCUCCAGUGCCUGCCAUGUGAAGCCUCUGUGCCACGGUUUGCUGCGUUGUGGCCAGCAACAGUGAGUGACCAAGGCCAUCAGGUCCUGCUUCCUGCUCCUGCACCCCUACCUGCCACUGAGCUGCUUCUGGAACCUAAGUGGAAUCAAUAUACAACAGCACACAGCUUUAUUAAACACAUCUAUUCUCUCUGGAUGACUGCAGAAGACUUCAUUCUCCCUCCCUGUUUGUAAGACCUGGUGUGGAUUUUUUUCUUCUUUCCUCACCCCACAGUGUGGCGCUCACUGUGGUUCUCCUGAAGUUCCAGACCGAGAUGUAAGGUGUUUGUUUGGUAACAUGGUAUAAUCCUGACUUGAACUGGCCACAGCAGCAGCUCAGCUGCUUGCCCCACACCAGCACCUUUGUCCUCAGCAGCAGGCUUUGUCCCCAGGACCAGUUGGAAAACCAAGACCUGGUGCCUGAAUGCCGUGGUGGAUGCAAACCUGGAGGCAUUAGGUUGCAAGAGGAGUAGCUGAGUGAGAGAGCUGUUCCCUGAGCCAGCCGCAAAGGGCUCAUUAGCCAGCAGCUAUUUAGGCAGUGGCACUGCAGCAACUCUCUGCUGGAAAAAGCUGAUUUGUGGCGGUUUCCUCUCCACGCCGAGUGUGCACUGAUCAGGAAUAUAAAUACCGUUAAUCCCCAGCGUUAAUACCAGCAGCUUUGAUCAUCUUUCCCCAUUAUCACUCCCUUGCUGUUAAUAAAAGUGAUAACCAUGGGGGAGAAGGGAAUGGGGACUGGACUAAUCAGUUUGCAGUUGGCGAUGCUGUUGGGAAAACGAGACACCCAAGGCAACCUGGCCUCAGUGACAGUGCCUCUGGACAUCAAGAGGGAGCUCAGGAACAAAUUUCUGCAAGGGACUUUCUACAAAUUCCCAAGUCCUAUUCCAAGCUGAUGAUGGCUUUGCUUCUCCAGGAUGCAAAGAUGCUGGCCUGUUUGCUCUGGAAGAACUUUCAGCCAAGGCUUUGGCAGUCAAAAUUGACUUUGGAGACUGACUUUGCUUCUUGAACUGUUCUGGACCUGUUUCUUCCCAGCCAUGGAUUGGAUGCACCGUUCGUGUGAUAAACCACAGCAAUCCAACAGCAAUCCCACACUUACACAUCUCCCCUAGAAGGACGGUAAUUCUCAUGGAGGGGAUGCCUGCGUUCCUGUGUCCGUGAGGAGGCCUGCCUCCAUUCGUCAGUGGAGCUCACCACUUGGGAGUCUGCUUGGAUGAUUAUCUCCAUCUGACAGUGAGUUGCAGUAGAAAGAAGAAUGAACCCUACGGCACCUCCUGUACAGGGAGCAGCUCCUGCGUAGGACGUCUGUGGCUUUGUGAUUCUUGAGAGGCAUCUGUGCAGAUCCGGUCCUUGGUCCUCAGUAACAACACAGGAUCCCAUACAGCAAGGAUGAGGCAAGAGAUGACAGCUCACCACACAAGACCAAUCUGGGUGACAAAGCAGAGUCCUCUCUUUGCUUAUCCCCUGCCUUCCUGUGCAGCAGGACUGCCAGAAAUCACAGCGGUGCAAUACUCGGCAGGAUGACAAGGAACCAGCAGUCCAGAAGAGAAGCAGCCCUGACAAUUCCUCUGUUCCUGCUGCUCAGUGAAAUGGUUGCGUGUGGGAUGCGAUCAGCGCUCUGCAGCUGCUCCUACAUUAGUGUGCAUCGGAGGCACUCGAUGGAUCAGAGCCCUCUCCAGCAUCACCUUCACAGCGAAAAAGACACAAACCCAACGGCUCAACACUUGCAAGGCAGAGCAGUGCUGCAGCCCCGUGUGCCCUUCGACUCACUCCCUUUCCCUCGGCCAGGCCUCAAGCAGAGCAGUGAUUGAAGAGAGGUGGAGGUAGGAGCGGGGUGCUGGGAAGCAGGACGGAUCUGGUAAUUUCAGCGGUCAUUAGUGGAGCUCAUCGUGAGUUUGAUAGAUCUGUGCUGCUUUGUUACAGUUAAGUGGACUGAUUGUGGAACACAGAAACGUUUUUAGUGACAUGACAGCUAAUUUAGUAAGGGGGGAGUGGUGGGAAAAGAACACGCAUUAUUCCAUAAUUAUAUCUUGCUCUGUUCCAGCCCCAUGACUGAUUCCCCUGAGAACAUAACUCUGGUUUCUCUGACACCCUGAACAAGAGCGAGAUGUCAGGAUCCUUCCUUAGGGCUGCUGCAUGAGAGGGAUGGACCGGUGACACUGAUGCUACAUCACCUCUUCUGAGCACAGGAGCUGAGUUCCACGUUUGGCAGCUCCAGGAUGAACCGGUGGCGUUUCCUUGACUCCAGUGGCGAUCGAUUCCAUUUGGAGCCUGUAGCAACUGACGUCCAGGGGAGCCCAAGUCCCACCCAUCACAUGGCAACAGGAAGCUUUGCGUGAUGCCUGGUGGCACAUCCCUCCAAAAGGAAGUGGGAAGAUUAAAGAAAGACGUUGAGGCCCUGGAAUCUGCCCAGAGAGGGGCAACGAAGCUGUGAACGGGCUGGAGCACAAGUCUUAUGGAGAGAGGCAGAGGGAACUGGUGUUCUUCAGUCUGGAGAAGAGGCUCAGGGGAGACCUCAUUGCUCUCUACAAUGCCCUGAAAGGAGGCUGUGGUGAGCCCCAGCCCACGAGCGAGCAGCUCCCGAAAAUGCUGAGGAAAUGGAGCUGAAAGCCUGGGGCAAUGGGGCAGAGAAGGUGAAUCUAAAGAGAUGCAGAAAUGAACCAGACAGGGCCGGGAAAUGUACGGAGAACCCACCCUAGCCUGUAUGUGAGGGAGUGCAUACCACAGCGUAUGAGAUCAACAGCCCCUUUCCGCAGUCUCAGUA
ensembl:lncRNA